GAUGAACGCUAGCUACAGGCUUAACACAUGCAAGUCGAGGGGCAGCAUGGUCUUAGCUUGCUAAGGCCGAUGGCGACCGGCGCACGGGUGAGUAACACGUAUCCAACCUGCCGUCUACUCUUGGACAGCCUUCUGAAAGGAAGAUUAAUACAAGAUGGCAUCAUGAGUCCACAUGUUCACAUGAUUAAAGGUAUUCCGGUAGACGAUGGGGAUGCGUUCCAUUAGAUAGUAGGCGGGGUAACGGCCCACCUAGUCUUCGAUGGAUAGGGGUUCUGAGAGGAAGGUCCCCCACAUUGGAACUGAGACACGGUCCAAACUCCUACGGGAGGCAGCAGUGAGGAAUAUUGGUCAAUGGGCGAGAGCCUGAACCAGCCAAGUAGCGUGAAGGAUGACUGCCCUAUGGGUUGUAAACUUCUUUUAUAAAGGAAUAAAGUCGGGUAUGCAUACCCGUUUGCAUGUACUUUAUGAAUAAGGAUCGGCUAACUCCGUGCCAGCAGCCGCGGUAAUACGGAGGAUCCGAGCGUUAUCCGGAUUUAUUGGGUUUAAAGGGAGCGUAGAUGGAUGUUUAAGUCAGUUGUGAAAGUUUGCGGCUCAACCGUAAAAUUGCAGUUGAUACUGGAUAUCUUGAGUGCAGUUGAGGCAGGCGGAAUUCGUGGUGUAGCGGUGAAAUGCUUAGAUAUCACGAAGAACUCCGAUUGCGAAGGCAGCCUGCUAAGCUGCAACUGACAUUGAGGCUCGAAAGUGUGGGUAUCAAACAGGAUUAGAUACCCUGGUAGUCCACACGGUAAACGAUGAAUACUCGCUGUUUGCGAUAUACUGCAAGCGGCCAAGCGAAAGCGCUAAGUAUUCCACCUGGGGAGUACGCCGGCAACGGUGAAACUCAAAGGAAUUGACGGGGGCCCGCACAAGCGGAGGAACAUGUGGUUUAAUUCGAUGAUACGCGAGGAACCUUACCCGGGCUUAAAUUGCAGAUGAAUUACGGUGAAAGCCGUAAGCCGCAAGGCAUCUGUGAAGGUGCUGCAUGGUUGUCGUCAGCUCGUGCCGUGAGGUGUCGGCUUAAGUGCCAUAACGAGCGCAACCCUUGUUGUCAGUUACUAACAGGUUCUGCUGAGGACUCUGACAAGACUGCCAUCGUAAGAUGUGAGGAAGGUGGGGAUGACGUCAAAUCAGCACGGCCCUUACGUCCGGGGCUACACACGUGUUACAAUGGGGGGUACAGAGGGCCGCUACCACGCGAGUGGAUGCCAAUCCCAAAAACCUCUCUCAGUUCGGACUGGAGUCUGCAACCCGACUCCACGAAGCUGGAUUCGCUAGUAAUCGCGCAUCAGCCACGGCGCGGUGAAUACGUUCCCGGGCCUUGUACACACCGCCCGUCAAGCCAUGGGAGCCGGGGGUACCUGAAGUGCGUAACCGCGAGGAGCGCCCUAGGGUAAAACUGGUG
rnacentral:rRNA from 1 species